GAUGAACGCUGGCGGCGUGCUUAACACAUGCAAGUCGAACGAAGCAUUUGCGACAGAUUUUUUCGGAAUGAAGUUGCUUAUGACUGAGUGGCGGACGGGUGAGUAACGCGUGGGUAACCUGCCUUGUACUGGGGGAUAGCAGCUGGAAACGGCUGGUAACACCGCAUAAGCGCACAAUGUUGCAUGACAUGGUGUGAAAAACUCCGGUGGUAUAAGAUGGACCCGCGUCUGAUUAGCUAGUUGGUGAGAUAACAGCCCACCAAGGCGACGAUCAGUAGCCGACCUGAGAGGGUGACCGGCCACAUUGGGACUGAGACACGGCCCAGACUCCUACGGGAGGCAGCAGCGGGGAAUAUUGCACAAUGGAGGAAACUCUGAUGCAGCGACGCCGCGUGAGUGAAGAAGUAAUUCGUUAUGUAAAGCUCUAUCAGCAGGGAAGAUAGUGACGGUACCUGACUAAGAAGCUCCGGCUAAAUACGUG
rnacentral:rRNA from 1 species